AACGAACGCUGGCGGCAGGCCUAACACAUGCAAGUCGAGCGAGAUCUUCGGAUCUAGCGGCGGACGGGUGAGUAACGCGUGGGAAUAUGCCCUUCGGUUCGGAAUAGCCCCGGGAAACUGGGAGUAAUACCGGAUACGGUCUACGGACGAAAGAUUUAUCGCCGAAGGAUUAGCCCGCGUUGGAUUAGGUAGUUGGUGAGGUAAAGGCUCACCAAGGCGACGAUCCUUAGCUGGUCUUAGAGGAUGAUCAGCCACACUGGGACUGAGACACGGCCCAGACUCCUACGGGAGGCAGCAGUGGGGAAUAUUGGACAAUGGGCGAAAGCCUGAUCCAGCAAUGCCGCGUGAGUGAUGAAGGCCUUAGGGUUGUAAAGCUCUUUUACCUGGGAUGAUAAUGACAGUACCAGGAGAAUAAGCCCCGGCUAACUCCGUG
rnacentral:rRNA from 1 species